UACGGGGGGGGCAAGCGUUGUUCGGAAUUACUGGGCGUAAAGGGUUCGUAGGUGGCCUGCUAAGUCAGACGUGAAAUCCCUCAGCUUAACUGGGGAACUGCGUCUGAUACUGGUGGGCUUGAGUGCAGGAGAGGAACGCGGAAUUCCAGGUGUAGCGGUGAAAUGCGUAGAUAUCUGGAGGAACACCGGUGGCGAAGGCGGCGUUCUGGACUGCUACUGACACUGAUGGACGAAAGCCAGGGGAGCAAACGGG
rnacentral:rRNA from 1 species